rnacentral:tRNA from 1 species
GAAGCACGAGCGGGCAACUCGAUCUGCUUGGCAAGCAGGAGGUCGCCGGUUCGAUCCCGGCUGGCUCUG